AUGGAGUACGUUUCAAGGGCACGCUAGACAAGGUGCGCAAGUGGAGGGAUGCUUUAAUCAAAGCUUCCAAAAUAGCUGGGUUUGUUUCACGCAACAUUGGCCCCGAUUACAAAUUAGUUGAGGAAGUUGUGAGAGAUAUUGUGUGGAAGUUGAGCCGCAAAUGCAUUGCCCCACAAGAUGUCGGAGAAGAUGUCUGCUUCAAGUGUGGUGGUAUAGGACAUUGGGCCCAACACUGCCCUUCAGCAGGUGAAUGUUUCAAGUGUGGUGGGAUAGGACAUUGGGCUCAACAUUGCCCUUCAGCUGGUGAAUGUUUCAAGUGUGGCGGUUUAGGACAUUGGGCCCAACACUGCCCUUCACGCUUUAACAGUGAUGAAGACAUGUAGGGAUAUAUCUACAUACAAGCUUGGUUGGGCUUCGCCCACCUGAGAUUUCAUAAAUUACUAAGUAUAUGUAAUAUUAUAGAUGUCAUGGGCUUGCAGUCUUGGUAUUAGUUAAAACAUUUUAACUAAUAUCACAUUUUAACUAAUAUCAAGCCCACCUAAUUUCGAAUUGCGUAAGUUGCAAUCUUUUAGUCAUUUUUUCCUCUUACUUCCUAUUUUCUUGAUUUCUUCUAAAUUUUUUUUUUCUUUUUCCCAAUACCUACUGGGUCCGAAGUUUGAUAUUGGGGUUCCCUCGUGUGUGGCUUUGGAUCUAUUUGGUCUUUAAGGCCUCUUUUGUAUGUGGAUUUGGAUCUGUUUGGUUUUUAUGUUUGUAUUUUUUGUUUUAUCUUUAGGUUUGCAUUCUUUUGUAAGAUGUUAGGUCAUUAUAUUAUUCAGGAUUCCUAGUUUUAUUUAUUAUUAUUAUUAUUUUUUAUAUUUUGGAUGUAGUCCUAAAAGGUGAGUAUUUAUAACUA